rnacentral:rRNA from 1 species
UACGGAGGGUGCAAGCGUUAAUCGGAAUUACUGGGCGUAAAGCGCACGCAGGCGGUUGGAUAAGCCAGAUGUGAAAGCCCCGAGCUCAACUUGGGAAUAGCAUUUGGAACUGUCCGGCUAGAGUCUUGUAGAGGGGGGUAGAAUUCCAGGUGUAGCGGUGAAAUGCGUAGAGAUCUGGAGGAAUACCGGUGGCGAAGGCGGCCCCCUGGACAAAGACUGACGCUCAGGUGCGAAAGCGUGGGGAGCAAACAGG